rnacentral:rRNA from 1 species
GACGGAGGGGGCGAGCGUUGUCCGGAAUUACUGGGCGUAAAGCGCACGUAGGCGGUCGCGUACGGCGGGGGUGAAAGCCCCCGGCUCAACUGGGGGAGGUCCCCCGCAACGGCGCGACUCGAGGCCGGUAGAGGCUCACGGAAUUCCUGGUGUAGCGGUGAAAUGCGUAGAGAUCAGGAGGAACACCCGUGGCGAAGGCGGUGAGCUGGGCCGGGCCUGACGCUGAGGUGCGAAAGCCAGGGGAGUGAACGGGAUUAGAUACCCCGGUAAUCCUGGCUGUAAACGAUGGAUACUAGGUGUCAGCGGUAUCGACCCCGCUGGUGCCGGAGCUAACGCGUGAAGUAUCCCGCCUGGGGAGUACGGCCGCAAGGUUG